rnacentral:rRNA from 1 species
UGCCAGCCGCCGCGGUAACACGUAAGUUGCAAGCGUUGUUCGGAUUCAUUGGGCGUAAAGGGCAUGUAGGCGGCAUGACAAGUCUGGUGUGAAAUAUCUCGGCUCAACCGAGAAAACGCACUGGAAACUGUCAAGCUUGAGUAUCGGAGGGGAAGCUAGAAUUCCUGGUGUAGGGGUGAAAUCUGUAGAUAUCAGGAAGAAUACCGGUGGCGAAGGCGAGCUUCUGGCCAGAUACUGACGCUGAGAUGCGAAAGCGUGGGGAGCGAACAGGAUUAGAUA